AUUGAACGCUGGCGGCAUGCUUUACACAUGCAAGUCGAACGGUAACAGGGUGCUUGCACCGCUGACGAGUGGCGAACGGGUGAGUAAUGCGUCGGAACGUGCCGAGUAGUGGGGGAUAACGCAGCGAAAGUUGUGCUAAUACCGCAUACGUACUGAGGUAGAAAGUGGGGGACCUUCGGGCCUCACGCUAUUCGAGCGGCCGACGUCUGAUUAGCUAGUAGGUGAGGUAAAGGCUCACCUAGUCGACGAUCAGUAGCGGGUCUGAGAGGAUGACCCGCCACACCGGGACUGGGACACGGCCCAGACUCCUACGGGAGGCAGCAGUGGGAAUUUUGGACAAUGGGCGAAAGCCUGAUCCAGCCAUGCCGCGUGUCUGAAGAAGGCCCUCGGGUUGUAAACUGCUUUUGUACGGAACGAAACGGUCUGGGUUAAUACCCUGGGCUAAUGACGGUACCGUAAGAAUAAGCACCGGCUAACUACGUGCCAGCAGCCGCCGUAA
rnacentral:rRNA from 1 species